AUUUUGAACGAGUGGCGGACGGGUGAGUAACACGUGGGUAACCUGCCCUUAAGUGGGGGAUAACAUUUGGAAACAGAUGCUAAUACCGCAUAAAUCCAAGAACCGCAUGGUUCUUGGCUGAAAGAUGGCGUAAGCUAUCGCUUUUGGAUGGACCCGCGGCGUAUUAGCUAGUUGGUGAGGUAACGGCUCACCAAGGCAAUGAUACGUAGCCGAACUGAGAGGUUGAUCGGCCACAUUGGGACUGAGACACGGCCCAAACUCCUACGGGAGGCAGCAGUAGGGAAUCUUCCACAAUGGACGCAAGUCUGAUGGAGCAACGCCGCGUGAGUGAAGAAGGCUUUCGGGUCGUAAAACUCUGUUGUUGGAGAAGAAUGGUCGGCAGAGUAACUGUUGUCGGCGUGACGGUAUCCAACCAGAAAGCCACGGCUAACUACGUGCCAGCAGCCGCGGUAAUACGUAGGUGGCAAGCGUUAUCCGGAUUUAUUGGGCGUAAAGCGAGCGCAGGCGGUUUUUUAAGUCUGAUGUGAAAGCCCUCGGCUUAACCGAGGAAGUGCAUCGGAAACUGGGAAACUUGAGUGCAGAAGAGGACAGUGGAACUCCAUGUGUAGCGGUGAAAUGCGUAGAUAUAUGGAAGAACACCAGUGGCGAAGGCGGCUGUCUGGUCUGUAACUGACGCUGAGGCUCGAAAGCAUGGGUAGCGAACAGGAUUAGAUACCCUGGUAGUCCAUGCCGUAAACGAUGAAUGCUAGGUGUUGGAGGGUUUCCGCCCUUCAGUGCCGCAGCUAACGCAUUAAGCAUUCCGCCUGGGGAGUACGACCGCAAGGUUGAAACUCAAAGGAAUUGACGGGGGCCCGCACAAGCGGUGGAGCAUGUGGUUUAAUUCGAAGCAACGCGAAGAACCUUACCAGGUCUUGACAUCUUUUGAUCACCUGAGAGAUCAGGUUUCCCCUUCGGGGGCAAAAUGACAGGUGGUGUAUGGUUGUCGUCAGCUCGUGUCGUGAGAUGUUGGGUUAAGUCCCGCAACGAGCGCAACCCUUAUGACUAGUUGCCAGCAUUUAGUUGGGCACUCUAGUAAGACUGCCGGUGACAAACCGGAGGAAGGUGGGGAUGACGUCAAAUCAUCAUGCCCCUUAUGACCUGGGCUACACACGUGCUACAAUGGAUGGUACAACGAGUUGCGAGACCGCGAGGUCAAGCUAAUCUCUUAAAGCCAUUCUCAGUUCGGACUGUAGGCUGCAACUCGCCUACACGAAGUCGGAAUCGCUAGUAAUCGCGGAUCAGCACGCCGCGGUGAAUACGUUCCCGGGCCUUGUACACACCGCCCGUCACACCAUGAGAGUUUGUAACACCCGAAGCCGGUGGCGUAACCCUUUUAGGGAGCGAGCCGUCUAAGGUGGGACAAAUGAUUAGGGUGAAGUCGUAACAAGGUAGCCGUAGGAGAACCUGCGGCUGGAUCACCUCCUUUCUAAGGAA
rnacentral:rRNA from 2 species